GUUAUCUACAUAUUAAUUCUACUCAAUAAACUCCAUAACCCAUUCUUUUUCGUGUUUCACGUUGUUUGUUUCAAUAUAUAAGGAGAAGAAAAUAACUCAAUUGGGUAUUUACAAUUGAGAAAGUGUGAUCAGUGAGUUGAAAUCAGUUGGAGUUUGAGUUAGAGCUUAUAAGUGUGUUGUAUGUUGCAAUCCGUUGGACUUUGAGUCUACAUAGCAGAGCAGUUUUGUUUGGUCAAAACUAAUUGAACUCUCUGUUUUCUUCUAUAAAGAUGGCAGAUAAACCACAUCAAGUAUUUGAGGUUUAUGGUGAAUCGAAAUGUUUUGAUGACGAUGGUCGUAUCAAAAGGACUGGGUCUGUUUGGACGGCAAGUGCUCACAUCAUAACUGCUGUGAUAGGAUCAGGAGUUUUAUCAUUGGCUUGGGCUACUGCUCAGCUUGGAUGGGUAGCUGGGCCAACUGUAUUGCUACUUUUCUCCUUUGUUACUUACUAUACCUCUGCUUUGCUUUCCGAUUGUUACCGGACCGGUGAUCCAGUUACCGGAAAAAGAAAUUAUACUUAUAUGGAUGCUGUUCGAGCCAAUCUAGGUGGAUUUCAGGUUAAGAUUUGUGGUGUGAUUCAGUAUGCAAAUCUUUUUGGAGUUGCAAUUGGUUAUACCAUAGCGUCUUCCAUUAGUAUGGUGGCUGUGAAUAGGUCUAAUUGUUUCCAUAAACAAGGUCAUCAUGCUGCUUGCAAUGUUUCAAGUACUCCCUAUAUGAUCAUGUUUGGUGUGAUGGAAAUUAUCUUCUCACAAAUCCCGGAUUUCGAUCAGAUUUCUUGGCUUUCGAUUGUUGCUGCUGUUAUGUCGUUUACUUACUCUACAAUUGGUCUUGGCUUAGGAGUUGCUCAAGUUGCAGAAACAGGAAAAAUUGAAGGAAGUUUAACUGGGAUUAGCAUUGGAACUGAAGUAACUGAAAUGCAGAAGAUUUGGAGAAGCUUUCAAGCUCUUGGAGCUAUAGCUUUUGCUUAUUCCUACUCCCUAAUCCUUAUCGAAAUUCAGGAUACACUCAAAUCACCACCAGCAGAAGCAAAGACAAUGAAAAGGGCAACACUAAUUAGUGUGGCAGUUACAACAGUAUUCUACAUGCUUUGUGGUUGCUUUGGGUAUGCAGCAUUCGGAGAUCAAUCCCCUGGAAACCUACUAACAGGAUUCGGAUUCUACAACCCCUAUUGGCUUCUUGACAUCGCGAACAUAGCCAUCGUUGUUCACCUAGUAGGUGCAUACCAAGUUUACUGUCAACCCCUUUUCGCCUUUGUUGAAAAAACAGCAGCUGAAUGGUACCCUGACAGCAAAAUCAUAACAAAAGAAAUCGAUGUCCCAAUCCCGGGAUUCAAACCUUUCAAGCUCAACCUUUUCCGUCUAGUCUGGAGGACAAUAUUCGUGAUCAUCACCACAGUCAUAUCAAUGUUGAUGCCCUUCUUUAACGACGUCGUUGGCAUUCUUGGAGCAUUUGGAUUUUGGCCACUUACAGUAUACUUCCCAGUGGAAAUGUACAUUGUGCAAAAGAGAAUUACCAAAUGGAGUGCAAGAUGGAUAUGUCUACAAAUACUUAGUGGUGCUUGCCUUGUUAUCUCAAUUGCUGCAGCUGCUGGUUCUUUUGCUGGAGUUGUUUCUGAUUUAAAAGUUUACAGGCCUUUUCAGAGUUAAAAAACUAAAAUUAUUGUUGAUGUUCAUUAAAAGGAAAAAAAAACAAAAACAAACAAGGGCCUGAAGAGGUGUUGACAAGCCUGUUGUUGCUAUUGUGUAGGUUUUAAUUUGGCUUUUUUCUUUUUAGUUCCACAACAAAGAAAAAGAAGGCAGGUCCUUGUAUGUAUGUAUCUAUGUGGGAAGAAAAAAAGAAUCAAGUCUUUUUUCAAUUUAUGUAACAACUUUUAUUUCACUGCAAAGAGGAAAUAAGAAAUUGAAUCAAAAGUUU
rnacentral:misc_RNA from 1 species